GAGCGCAACCCUUAUCCUUUGUUGCCAGCGGUCCGGCCGGGAACUCAAAGGAGACUGCCAGUGAUAAACUGGAGGAAGGUGGGGAUGACGUCAAGUCAUCAUGGCCCUUACGACCAGGGCUACACACGUGCUACAAUGGCGCAUACAAAGAGAAGCGACCUCGCGAGAGCAAGCGGACCUCAUAAAGUGCGUCGUAGUCCGGAUUGGAGUCUGCAACUCGACUCCAUGAAGUCGGAAUCGCUAGUAAUCGUGGAUCAGAAUGCCACGGUGAAUACGUUCCCGGGCCUUGUACACACCGCCCGUCACACCAUGGGAGUGGGUUGCAAAAGAAGUAGGUAGCUUAACCUUCGGGAGGGCGCUUACCACUUUGUGAUUCAUGACUGGGGUGAAGUCGUAACAAGGUAACCGUAGGGGAACCUGCGGUUGGAUCAC
rnacentral:rRNA from 1 species